GGUCCGAUGCCACGUCGCCGGUAGCAAAUAAAAAAGAGCAGUGACCGGCGAUGCUAUGAUUGGACCGAAAGGAAUCACAUGUUUCGCUUGCUGAUAGGAACCUGUAGAUCUAAUUCCCUACGAUCUACGGAGCCGUUUUCGGCGAUUACAUUU
rnacentral:snoRNA from 1 species